CAAUAGCGUAUAUUAAAGUUGUUGCAGUUAAAAAGCUCGUAGUUGGAUUUCUGGUGGGAGCGAUCGGUCUGGCGCUUAGCGCGAGUACUUGCAUCGUCUCCGGCCAUCCUUGGGGAGAGUCUGUCUGGCAUUAGGUUGUCGGGCAGAGGAUCCUCAUCGUUUACUGUGAAAAAAUUAGAGUGUUCAAAGCAGGCUUAUGCCGUUGAAUAUAUUAGCAUGGAAUAAUAAGAUAGGAAUUUGGUACUAUUUUGUUGGUUUGCGCACCAAAGUAAUGAUUAAUAGGGACAGUUGGGGGUAUUCGUAUUCCGUUGUCAGAGGUGAAAUUCUUGGAUUUACGGAAGACGAACUACUGCGAAAGCAUUUACCAAGGAUGUUUUCAUUAA
rnacentral:rRNA from 1 species